rnacentral:rRNA from 1 species
CAUGAUGGCCAUACCACCCUGAAUGCAACCAAUCUCGUCUGAUCUCAAAAGCUAAGCAGGGUCAGGCCUGGUUAGUACCCCGAUGGGAGAUACAUGGUAAGAGACUGCCUGUGGGGCUCAGCCACCUCCUUUU